rnacentral:rRNA from 1 species
GCCGUGAGACUAGUCCAAGAACACCCACAAAAAUUAAUCGCGCCAAAACAAAACAUUUGACACAGUCAGUAAAGGAGAUUGAAAAUUUACUUGGCACUAUAGUUAUAGUACCGCAAGGGAAAGUUGAAAAACAGUUAAAAACCAAGCGAAAAAAAGCAGAGUUAGGCCCUCGUACCUUUUGCAUCAUGGUUUAGCAAGAUAAACCCUGACAAGAAGAACCAUAGUCAGAGCACCCGAAACCAAGUGAGCUACUUUUAAGCAGCUAAAAGAGCGUAUCCCCCUCUGUAGCAAAAGAGCGGAAAGACUUAAAAGUAGAGGUGAAACGCCAACCGAACUUGGCAAUAGCUGGUUGUUCAAAAAUAAGAAUCUUAGUUCUACUUUAGUACACACAAAUAUGCCAAGAUAACACUAAAGGAAGUCUUUAGGGGGACAGCUCUAAAGAUCCGGGAUACAACCCGUAGCUGUGAGCAAUAUUAUUAAUUUUUUGCAAAAAUAGCGUCUAAGCAUAAUAAUUAAAAAUCUCACAAGUAAUUAACUUCUCCAGCAAACAUACGAACAACUCUAUUUAAAUAGAGGCUCUUAUGCUAAAACUAUUAAUAUGAGCAACAACUCUACCUGCGCAUUCAUCACUCAAAUACUACCGAUAAUUAACAGACCAAAAAAGGGUGAGCACAACCUAAUUAAUAAGUCCUUUAAACACUGUGAGUCCAACCCAGGUGCGCAAUAAUGGUAAAAUUAAAAGUUACAAAAGGAACUCGGCAAACACAGAUUCCAACUGUUUACCAAAAACAUAGCCUUUAGCUAAAUAAGUAUUGAAGGUAAUGCCUGCCCAGUGAAAUCACUUUCAACGGCCGCGGUACCCUAACCGUGCAAAGGUAGCGUAAUCAUUUGUCCACUAAUUAUGGACCCGUAUGAAAGGCCACAUGAGAAUCUAACUGUCUCCUGUAACCAAUUUAUAAAACUGAUCUUCCAGUCCAAAAGCUGGAAUACACUUAUAAGACGAGAAGACCCUGUGAAGCUUAAAAAAUCCUAUUAAACCUAGUAAUAGGUAUUUUUAGUUGGGGCAACUUUGGAAAAUAAUUUAACUUCCAAAAAUAAAACAAUAUUACACCAAGACCUACAAGUCAAUUAAGACCCAGUAUAACUGAUAAGUGGACCAAGUUACUCCAGGGAUAACAGCGCAAUCUUCUUCAAGAGCCCAUAUCAAAAGGAAGGUUUACGACCUCGAUGUUGGAUCAGGACACCCAAAUGGCGCAGCCGCUAUUAAAGGUUCGUUUGUUCAACG